rnacentral:rRNA from 1 species
UACGUAGGGUGCAAGCGUUAAUCGGAAUUACUGGGCGUAAAGCGUGCGCAGGCGGUUAUGUAAGACAGUUGUGAAAUCCCCGGGCUCAACCUGGGAACUGCAUCUGUGACUGCAUAGCUAGAGUACGGUAGAGGGGGAUGGAAUUCCGCGUGUAGCAGUGAAAUGCGUAGAUAUGCGGAGGAACACCGAUGGCGAAGGCAAUCCCCUGGACCUGUACUGACGCUCAUGCACGAAAGUGUGGGGAGCAAACAGG